CUACGGGGUCACCAGUGGGGAAUAUUGGACAAUGGGGGAAACCCUGAUCCAGCAAUGCCGCGUGUGUGAAGAAGGCCUGCGGGUUGUAAAGCACUUUCGGUUGGGAGGACUGCUUCUAGCACUAAUAUUGUUGGAAGUUGACGUUACCUUCAGAAGAAGCACCGGCUAACUCCGUGCCAGCAGCCGCGGUAAUACGGAGGGUGCAAGCGUUGAUCGGAAUUACUGGGCGUAAAGCGCGCGGAGGCGGCUAGAUCAGUCGGGGGUGAAAGCCCCGGGCUUAACCUGGGCACUGCAUCCGAUACUGUCUAGCUUGAGUACAGGAGAGGAGAGUGGAAUUCCACAUGUAGCGGUGAAAUGCGUAGAUAUGUGGAGGAACACCAAUGGCGAAGGCAGCUCUCUGGCCUGAUACUGACGCUGAGGUGCGAAAGCGUGGGGAGCAAACAGGAUUAGAUACCCCCGUAGUC
rnacentral:rRNA from 1 species